GCAGUAGGGAAUAUUGGGCAAUGGAUGCAAGUCUGACCCAGCCAUGCCGCGUGCCGGAUGAAGGCCCUCAGGGUUGUAAACGGCUUUUAUUCGGGAAGAAGAGCAGGGAUGCGUCCUUGUGUGACGGUACCGAAUGAAUAAGCACCGGCUAACUCCGUGCCAGCAGCCGCGGUAAUACGGAGGGUGCGAGCGUUGUCCGGAUUUAUUGGGUUUAAAGGGUGCGUAGGUGGGUUAAUAAGUCAGUGGUGAAAUACAGCCGCUCAACGGUUGAGGUGCCAUUGAUACUGUUAAUCUUGAAACAAGUGGAGGUUGCCGGAAUGGAUGGUGUAGCGGUGAAAUGCAUAGAUAUCAUCCAGAACACCGAUUGCGAAGGCAGGUGACUACGUUUGAUUUGACACUGAGGCACGAAAGCAUGGGGAGCAAACAGGAUUAGA
rnacentral:rRNA from 1 species